AGGGAUGAAGCUCAGUUGGUAGAGUGCUUGUCUAUCAUGCAGGAAGCCCNGGGCUCAACCCCCAGCACCUCAU
rnacentral:tRNA from 1 species